GUGGAUGCCCUGGCAGUCAGAGGCGAUGAAGGACGUGCUAAUCUGCGAAAAGCGUCGGUAAGGGGAUAUGAACCGUUAUAACCGGCGAUGUCCGAAUGGGGAAACCCAGUGCAAUUCGUUGCACUAUCGUUAACUGAAUACAUAGGUUAACGAGGCGAACCGGGGGAACUGAAACAUCUAAGUACCCCGAGGAAAAGAAAUCAACCGAGAUUCCCCCAGUAGCGGCGAGCGAACGGGGAGCAGCCCAGAGUCUGAAUCAGCUUGUGUGUUAGUGGAACGGUCUGGAAAGGCCGACGGUACAGGGUGAUAGUCCCGUACACCAAAAUGCACAGGUUGUGAACUCGAAGAGUAGGGCGGGACACGUGGUAUCCUGUCUGAAUAUGGGGGGACCAUCCUCCAAGGCUAAAUAC
rnacentral:rRNA from 1 species